rnacentral:rRNA from 1 species
UGCUUGUUGGUGGGGUAACGGCCUACCAGGCGACGACGGGUAGCCGGCCUGAGAGGGCGACCGGCCACNCUGGGACUGAGACACGGCCCAGACUCCUACGGGAGGCAGCAGUGGGGAAUAUUGCGCAAUGGGCGAAAGCCUGACGCAGCGACGCCGCGUGGGGGAUGAAGGCCUUCGGGUUGUAAACCCCUUUCAGCAGGGACGAAGCAAAAGUGACGGUACCUGCAGAAGAAGCGCCGGCUAACUACGUGCCAGCAGCCGCGGUAACACGUAGGGCGCAAGCGUUGUCCGGAAUUAUUGGGCGUCAAGAGCUCGUAUGCGGUCUGUUGCGUCCGCUGUGAAACUCGGGGCUUAACCCGAGCCUGCAGUGGAUACAGGCAGACUUAGAGGUAGGAGGGAGAUGGAUUCC